ACACGAGAAGGGAGGUGGUUCGGGACAUGAUUUCUUUCCGGACGCGUGAGGUGACUGCGGGCUAGCGCCCGUCGUCGCGCCAAGCGCAGCGCCGGCCACGCCGGCCAAUCCCAAGCAGUCACCCGAUCCGUGGGCCGCCGAGUCGUCCGCUCGGCACCGUCGCGCCGCACCCG
rnacentral:sRNA from 1 species